rnacentral:rRNA from 1 species
GACGAACGCUGGCGGCGUGCUUAACACAUGCAAGUCGAACGGAAAGGCCCUGCUUUUGUGGGGUGCUCGAGUGGCGAACGGGUGAGUAACACGUGAGUAACCUGCCCUUGACUUUGGGAUAACUUCAGGAAACUGGGGCUAAUACCGGAUAGGAGCUCCUGCUGCAUGGUGGGGGUUGGAAAGUUUCGGCGGUUGGGGAUGGACUCGCGGCUUAUCAGCUUGUUGGUGGGGUAGUGGCUUACCAAGGCUUUGACGGGUAGCCGGCCUGAGAGGGUGACCGGCCACAUUGGGACUGAGAUACGGCCCAGACUCCUACGGGAGGCAGCAGUGGGGAAUAUUGCACAAUGGGCGGAGGCCUGAUGCAGCAACGCCGCGUGCGGGAAUGACGGCCUUCGGGUUGUAAACCGCUUUCGCCUGUGACGAAGCGUGAGUGACGGUAAUGGGUAAAGAAGCACCGGCUAACUACGUG